UGCUCAGGGAUUUCAGUUGGAGUUGACAAGUCACCUUUUACUGUCUCUAUCUCAUUUCAAGACCUCUCUGGAGGUAGACAAGCUUUGAAGCCUCUUUAUUUUCUCAAGGUAUGUUGCAGAAGUGUAAUCCCACUUGAUAGGUAUGCAAGACCUAAGCAUGGUCCUGAUUUCUCCUGAAACUAUACCUCUGUCUUCAAGCAUUGCCAUGAAUUUUGGAUUGUCAGCUGAAAACUCAAACAGAAAACCAGCAGUUGCAGCUUUCAAAAGUUAGAGAGACUAGAGCUUUCAUUUCACAAAUAAUCAGUGUAAGCAGUCCAGAGGCAAUAUUUCAUUGAAGGAAGAACUAGAUGAAAAAAGAAAAUAAGAAAUCAGGAAGGAAUCCAUUCCAUCCCAAAAGCAAGGGGUUUUUGUCCCCUUUAACUUUAGUGAAGACAGCAUCAUUACAUUGGAACAUGCAACACACACAUCUUUCUGGAGGACUCCCAGCUAGAUAAUCUGAAGAUUUUUAAAAUUUAAUUUAAAUUAAUGACUGUGUCAGUAAAGAAAACUCAGGUU